CUCUUUCUUAUGUUGAAUUAUGUCCAGAGGCAUAACUAGACUGAAGGUUUAGACUCCAUUCAUUCUCCUAUGUUUUUGUUCUUAACUGCAUUCUGCAGUCAAAUCAGGAGCUUUAGAAAAUACUGAUGCCUGGCUCUCAACCAGAGAGAACUGAACUGAAUUGGUCUGGUGAAUUCAUUAAAAGAGCUAACAACAAUGAAG
rnacentral:lncRNA from 1 species